UCUCCUCUCUCGUUCUCCCCUGUGAGUUUUCCCUGUUUCUACCACCACCACCAUCGUUAUCACCAAGAUCAAAACCACACCCUUAUUGUCGUCGUCGAGGAAGAAAGGGUUUCUAACAGAUGGGGAUUUAGGCUUCAUGGAUUUGAAUUACAAAUGAAAAAGAUGAAAUUGAUGGUGAGAAACUAAAAGAAGAAGAUUGAGUUUGUGUUCUGAGAUUCGUGAAUAUCACAGGCGCCAUCCAAAUUCUCGUGUUUUGGAUGUAUACGAGGAGGCUGAGGAGUUGCUGAAAGAAGAACCACAUGUGGAGUUCAGUAGCGAGGAAGGUCAUGGACGGUACUUGGACUUGCAUGAGGUGUACAAUGAGUACAUUAAUUCUAAGUUUGCAGAGCGAAAUGAGAAAACAAAAGAACCAAUAAAGUAUUCUACGUAUCUGGAUAUGUUCUCCCAACCACAUAAAAUUUCAUGUAAACUAAAGCUAAGAAGGUAACUUUGCUGCAGUACAGUGCAUGAGUUAAUGGACCUGGGUAAGGACAUAUUAAAAGAGAAAGGAGGGCUCUUAAGUUUUGUCAAUAUUUCUCUGUUAGUGGGGGCACUAACCUUAAUUUUGAACUGGGGAAGUCUGGUUGAUUGAAAGCUUUAUUUUCUGUAACAGAGUCCAUCGAUCAAAGAUGCACAUUAUGUGGUUGCUGGUAAGCCCAAAAGAUUGCUAGUCAGUCACUUAAAAUUUCAGCUUAUAAUAUAUCUCAAUCACUUUUUUGUAGUCGAUACCUAGCUAGUGCAGGGGAAGAUCAAAUAAUGCAAAUGAUGGCAUCAUAUACUUUGUAUUGGCUUUUCAGUUUUUCCUCAGACCUGCUGGAAGAGAAAUCUGAAUUUAGAAUGUACUUCUGAAGUAUGGAGGCGAAGCUCUUGAUCUUAGAAAAAGACAAUCUUGUUCUUAGACAAAAGCAGUAACCACCCCACCUAAGAGCAAUCACCCCUUGAAAUGCUGCUGCAAAAGAAAGCCUUCUCAUAGACUUAGGAUUUUUAUUUCAGAUUUUUAGCAGCUUCAGUGGAAGUGCGCGUGCCACAUCUUGCUAGCACAUUGCUCUUGCUGGUUCCUCCAGUAGAAAUGCUUCACAACCCAUGUUGACAACUUAAACUUUAACCUUUGGGCAUGCCUCAUGCAGCAGAAAUGUUCACCUAGGUAGCUGGUUUCCUUAGUUCCAAAGAAUGUGAGAGUUCUUUUUUCUUUAAAUCGUUUUGUAAGAACCUUGGUAUGAUACUCAGUUUAUAGAUUCCUUCAUAUGAUUUUUUUGGUGUGCUUCAUACAUUUUGUGUACGAGUUCAUCAUGGUGAAUUAACUCUAAGAACACUAUCUUGAUACUGCUAUUGAUUAAUUUGAUUUCAAAUGAA